rnacentral:rRNA from 1 species
AUUGAACGCUGGCGGCAGGCCUAACACAUGCAAGUCGAACGGUAACAGGAAACAGCUUGCUGUUUCGCUGACGAGUGGCGGACGGGUGAGUAAUGUCUGGGAAACUGCCUGAUGGAGGGGGAUAACUACUGGAAACGGUAGCUAAUACCGCAUAACGUCGCAAGACCAAAGAGGGGGACCCUCGGGCCUCUUGCCAUCGGAUGUGCCCAGAUGGGAUUAGCUUGUUGGUGGGGUAACGGCUCACCAAGGCGACGAUCCCUAGCUGGUCUGAGAGGAUGACCAGCCACACUGGAACUGAGACACGGUCCAGACUCCUACGGGAGGCAGCAGUGGGGAAUAUUGCACAAUGGGCGCAAGCCUGAUGCAGCAAUGCCGCGUGUAUGAAGAAGGCCUUCGGGUUGUAAAGUACUUUCAGCGGGGAGGAAGGGAGUAAAGUUAAUACCUUUGCUCUUUGACGUUACCCGCAGAAGAAGCACCGGCUAACUCCGUG